rnacentral:rRNA from 1 species
CCUACGGGGGGCUGCAGUGGGGAAUCUUGCACAAUGGGGGAAACCCUGAUGCAGCGACGCCGCGUGAGCGAUGAAGCCCUUCGGGGUGUAAAGCUCUUUCGGCAGGGACGAUAAUGACGGUACCUGCAGAAGAAGCUGCGGCUAACUACGUGCCAGCAGCCGCGGUAAUACGUAGGCAGCGAGCGUUGUUCGGAGUUACUGGGCGUAAAGCGUGCGUAGGCGGCAGUCCAAGUCUGGUGUGAAAUCUCCCGGCUCAACCGGGAGGGUGCGCCGGA